AAAUAGUUAUACCGAACCGAUUCAGUACCCGAUUCCCGAUUAAACCUGUUGAAUCGGCCGAUUCAGUCAGGUUCUGAUAACUAUGCCUUAACCUAUGAUAUAGUCUGUGUUUGUAAAUAUAGGCUCCAUUUGGCACCAGCCUUUUUAGUUUUUUUUUGAUUUUUUUGCUUAAAAUAAGCAAAAAAAGCCAAUCAGAUUUAGUUUUUUUGCUUUUCUGUUUUUAUUUUUUUGCUUAGUUUUAGUUAA
rnacentral:lncRNA from 1 species